CUUAGCUGAUUAUGAUGAAAUUUGGAUCAGAUAUAUAAAUAUUAAAACGUAGUCAAACAUACGCAACAGCACGCGGAGCUGCAGGCAACAGCUAAUAAUCCAUUAUAUUUAGGGAAGUCCAAGAAUGGAGCGAUUAAUUUUUCGACGACCACAACUUUCACAAAACGGAACUGUCAAAAGUGGAGAUGAAAAGAAUAGAGGAAAGCGUUACCUGGGCUCCGACGCUCAGUGGCUGAGGAAGAAACCAGGAAUAUGUUUAGACGAAAGAGAGUAAAGUAUCAGAUAGCGUUAACAUUAACAGGUGUGAGGGCCCCCGAGAAGUUUUCUCGACAACGAUUGCUAUCAUGUCCCGCUGGAUUGAAUAACUAGUUGAUUUAAAACAUACUGUUCUAAUAAUCACAACCUAAUUAUUGCUUCGGCCACAACAAUGUCAACUUCAAAUUCAUAAACACGAUUUGUUUUCUUUUUAUUUUUUUUUACAAAAGAAAUGACAUUGUCUUCAUAAGCUAUUACAUGAUAAGCAAACUUGAUAAUAGCAAUAGCUUACGAAG